AGGAUUUGGAAGUAACAAGAUUGAAAGGUUAGUGUGUUUUGUGGUAGCAAAUACCAAAAGUUUUAGUUUGAUAAGUUUGUAGUGGAAAAAUAACACUUUAUUUUGACUUUUUCACGCAACGAUAUGUGUGCAGAAAUGACGCAACUUCUGACAAUUUUUGAGACGUUUUAUUUUGCUAACGCAUGGAUGGGAAAUAUAUUUCUUCGAGGACAAGAAAGUCAGUGCCCUAGCGAAUUGAUUCAAUGCAAAGUGUUUAUUCUGGAACAUUUUACUUAGCAAUUCUUUUAACAUGAAAAAUUGUCGAAAUUUGUGUGAAAUGCUCGCGAAAAUGAGUGAUAUUGAAAAGUUUGUGUCCUAUUCAAUUCUUAGUGGAAAAUCAUGUUGCUGGUCUCAUUCGACAGCUUAACCCUUUCUUGUUGUGAUGUAAAUUUACUAUAAUUUACAAAAAUGAAGAAAUAAAUGAUUUUUAGCUCAAAAGUGACAAACUGUAUUAUCAAAAUAUCAGUGUGCGCCAUUGUUCAAUGUUGCAAUUUUCACUCAUCGUAGUUUUUAAUUGCAUGGAUGGAAAAAUAUCUCUUUUAGGACAAGAAAACCAGUUCCCUAGCGUAUUUCUUGCAUGCAAAGAUUUUAUUCUGGAACAUUUGGUUUAGUGUAUUUUUGGCCACGAAAUAUGGUCGAAAUUGAUGUGAAAUGGUCGAGAAAAUAAGUGAUUUUGAAACGUAAAUAUCUUAUUCAAUUUUUAAGGCAAAUGCAUGUUGUUGCUGUCAUUCGACAGCUAUAUCAUUUCUUGUUUAGAUGUUAAUUUGUCAAAAAUAAACAAAAUUCGGAAAAGAUGUGAUUUUAGCACAAAAAUGACAGACCACUGUAAACAACGCAAUGGUCGUGCCGUUGCAACAAAGGCGCAAAAAUUAAAAAAGAUAUGAAACUGACAAAAAAGUACAACAAGGAUAAAAGUAUUGGCUUUUAAAUGAGACCAUUUACACUUUUCUGCGUCAGAAAUAAAUUCAAAACAUUGACUUAAAAUGAUCCUCUAAAUCAUCAUCUCUCGUCUUUUUUCUGGAAACCCGAUUCUAAUUUUAGACUGCAUCUUCGGAGAAUCAGGGCACGUGAGGUUAAGCUACGUCAUUAAGUAGCUGGGGACAUGGCUUUCAACGGUCGAAAGUAUUUCUGAGGAAUAAAAUCGUUUUCUUAUGUUUGGAGAUAGAAGGAGACGAAAAAAUCUUUAUGAGAAAAUACACCUCGCAAUAUCUGAUGUGCAGAAUUACCAAGGAUGAAGUCGGAUGAAAUAUGCAUUCAAAGAUAGGUGCAUUUUGUCUUCACGAUGUAGCAAAAUUUAAAAAUGGUGGUCACGGGCCAGCGAAAGUUAGAUGAAUUGAUUGUGUCUGAAAUACAUUCUAGCAUGCCGCAAGACCACAGUUAUGUGAUUAGUACAAGCCCAGAUGUUCAAGUUUUGCUAACAUACAGCAGAGAUAUGUGACCGAUUUUCCACAGCAGUGUUAUGCAGAUUACUGUGAUGUGACCAGGCCAAGAUGUUAAAAUUUUGCAAGCAUACUGAUGUGAUGUGGGGCAGACUUUUCACAGCAGGCAGCUACAGUAGAGACAAGAUGCAAAUGACAGAGUUCAAAGUGAUGUGUGCAUCUUAAAUGAACAGAGACAGAAUUGUUUUCACCAUUCAAAAUUACUAUUAUUUAGUCCAUAUGUAUAUGCAUUGUUUCUCAUUAUGAUAUCUGCCCACAGAAGAGGCAUCUGCCCGUAAAAGAGUCACUAUAGCUUAUUGUGUUUGUUGUCUUUUAAUAUGAAAAGUAGUAGUAGUCACCGAGAUAACGUUUUGUGCUAAUUUGCCUGCUUGAUAAGUCUAUAUCACUAUUGCUUAUUGUGUUUGUUGUCUUUUAAUAUGAAAAGUAGUAGUAGUCUCCGAGAUAACGUUUUGUGCUAAUUUGUCUGCUUGAUAAGUCUAUAUCAUGUCCCGUACGUCCGCAAUUUAUGCUAUGCCAGCUUGUAUGCCAAGUACAUUGUCCUAAUGAAAUGAAGAGACAAUGGUAUUCACCUAUAUGAAUAAACAA